GUAGGGUGCGAGCGUUAAUCGGAAUUACUGGGCGUAAAGCGUGCGCAGGCGGUUAUGUAAGACAGAUGUGAAAUCCCCGGGCUCAACCUGGGAACUGCAUUAGUGACUGCAUAGCUGGAGUACGGCAGAGGGGGAUGGAAUUCCGCGUGUAGCAGUGAAAUGCGUAGAUAUGCGGAGGAACACCGAUGGCGAAGGCAAUCCCCUGGGCCUGUACUGACGCUCAUGCACGAAAGCGUGGGGAGCAAACAGGAUUAGAUACCCUGGUAGUCCCACGCCCUAAACGAUGUCAACUGGUUGUUGGGUCUUCACUGACUCAGUAACGAAGCUAACGCGUGAAGUUGACCGCCUGGGGAGUACGGCCGCAAGGUUG
rnacentral:rRNA from 1 species